UUAACAUGAGAGUUUGAUCCUGGCUCAGAAUCAACGCUGGCGGCGUGCCUAACACAUGCAAGUCGAACGCGAAAGUCCCGCAAGGGAUCAGUAGAGUGGCAAACGGGUGAGUAACACGUGGGUGACCUGCCUUCGAGUGGGGGAUAACGUCCCGAAAGGGACGCUAAUACCGCAUGACAUCCUGCCUUUGAAGAGGUGGAGAUCAAAGCUGGGGAUCGCAAGACCUAGCGCUCAAAGAGGGGCCCGCGCCUGAUUAGCUAGUUGGCGAGGUAACGGCUCACCAAGGCAACGAUCAGUAUCCGGCCUGAGAGGGCGGACGGACACACUGGGACUGAGACACGGCCCA
rnacentral:rRNA from 1 species